rnacentral:rRNA from 1 species
GACAGAGGGUGCAAGCGUUGUUCGGAAUCAUUGGGCGUAAAGGGCGCGUAGGCGGCUUUGUAAGUCAUAUGUGAAAGCCCAGGGCUUAACCCUGGAAGUGCAUGUGAUACUGCAUGGCUUGAGUCCUGGAGAGGGUGGUGGAAUUCCUGGUGUAGAGGUGAAAUUCGUAGAUAUCAGGAGGAACACCGGUGGCGAAGGCGACCACCUGGACAGAGACUGACGCUGAGGCGCGAGAGCGUGGGGAGCAAACAGG